CAAAAGGCAAAACAUUUCACUCACAAGCGAAAGCGACGACAAUGCAAAAAUUGCAAGUCAUUUGGACAUGAUAGACGAAAAUGUACUAAAGUGUGCACAGAUGCAUAUGAAACUCACAAUUAUGAUGAUGUUGGAGCACCCAAUUAUGUUGACAAUGUAAAUUCGAACCUGGUAGGCUCAUCCUAUGGCCUACUGCAAUCAGAUUCACGGCAUGGAUGCAAUAAGGAGUUAAUGGAUAGUAACUGGUUUGAGAUCAUUCCUCCUGGUCAGGCAUUAAUGUGGGCAUGCAAUCCUUCAUUAAUCCAAAGUCAUGUACGAAACACUAGCUUGUUAGGAGACGGAAAUAUUCAGUGAAUGAGCCAGAUUUCAGCCAAGACCAUUAAGAAUUAUGACAUUCUUGAGAGGGUACAGAUUUUUCAGAUGGACUUUGCUCAAAAAUUUUAGGAUGAUUUACGUUUCUUCGAAGGUAUGUCUUGGAAUCGGAGCAUAUGAAGAAAUUUUUUGAUUAUAUUCAACUUCCAAAUUUCGAUAUUGCUGCUGAUGCUGCUGCAACUUUCAAGGAACUCUUGACAAGGCACAAAUCAACUGUAGCUGAAUUCCUUUCAAAGAAUUAUGACUGGACAAAUGCUACUAUGUCAGAUUUUGUGCAAAAUUCACAGCUACUAAGUGGACUCAAGAAGGAUGAAGAUAAAGCUUCUUUUUUUGGCUCGUGAAGUGUUUUGGAAGUUUUUAUGACUUUUGAGGCUCGGAUGCUUUUUGUAAACUUGAUUGACUUUGCAUGAACAAUUUGGGUUACACAGUACCACUUCUAUUGUAGUAUUUGUAGGAUGACAUUGAACUUAAACAUUAUAUUUUGGUCCUUUGUAGCAUAAUGGAUGCUUUUAGCUAUUAAUUAGCAGGCCUUUUAUGGUUCUGUUGAUUUGAUGAA